rnacentral:misc_RNA from 1 species
UUUCCGUAAGUGAACCUGCGGAAGGAUCAUUAAUGAGUUGUCAUGGGGUUCGAUGCUGGCAGCCAGUUUUUGGAUGCAUGUGCUUGCCCUAACAAUCAUCUUCUUCCAAACACCUGUGCACAUUUCUGAGGGAGUCUUGAGUUGGUUGCCGCUCUUGGGUGAUUUUCUCACAUUCCCUUAAAUCAUUAUACGCUAUUAACAAUGUUGAACGUGCUCUGUGCCGCAAGGCCAUUAAUAUAAUACAACUUUUAACAACGGAUCUCUUGGCUCUCGCAUCGACGAAGAACGCAGC